GUGCGUUUGGCGUGAAUAGUUCAGACAUGCAAGAAAUUCCGUGUUGGAGAGCGAUGUUGCGAGUUCGAGUGCCUGGACCAUCUGAAGACCGGAACUGGUAUAGUUUAUGUCGUUGAUGAUAAUAAUUCCUCCACGACUCAGCAACAAGAGCUACUCUGGGUGAUGAGCUUAAUGGUGCUGUUGCGGCUAUUUUAAUUUUUCAACAAGGAUCCAAAUGGCGCCGUUGACGAAAUUCUUUCAUUAUAAACGUCAACGAUCAACAUCAGCCAUCAGGGAACGAAGAAGUUGACUGUAUGGUGGAUGUAUCUAAUGGUGUUGUAGUUGACUGUAUGUUGUUCAAUAUUGCUAUGAAACUCUUCUGAUUCAUUGUCACUUAUACGAAGGAUGGAAGUAUACGAAAUUGAUAAAAUUAUUAAUAAUAUUUACGAAGAGAAAGUAAACUGUUGGAUAUAUGACAAAAUAAUUCUAUUUUAAAUAAGAGACUGGUCAGAGUGGUUAUUUUGUUUACAAAAUCAAACGAAUUUAAUGGAUGUAAUGGUAAGGAAGUAACUAUAAGUGGCUGUUAAACUAUUUUUAUGCUUGAAAAGUAAUUCGCAAAGUAAUGUAAAGCAGUACUACUGAGUUGUACAUAACCUCUUUCAGAAUUUGUUCUUAACCUCUUGCUUCAUAACUUCCUUAAUUAUACUCUUCAAACUUAUUGACUACUUCGAUGUUGUUACGAACAGAAACUGAUAAAAUAUUAAUCUUAAAUAUAGAUUGAAAUGAAAGCUUGUCAGGUAAAUAUAUAUAUAUAUAUAUGUGUACUACUUACUCAAACUAUGGAUCACAUAACCUAUACAAAAAAAAAAAAAAAAAAAUUAUUGUACACUAUAAAGCAAGAGGUUAAAUCUUUAAUCUGUUAAGAAUUAAAUUUUUUAUUGUAACUGCGAAAAUUAUAAAAGUACCAAGCGAA